rnacentral:tRNA from 1 species
GGGUAAUAGCUCAGUGGUAGAGCGCAUGCUUAGCAUACACAAGGUCCUGGGUUCAAUCCCCAGUUAUGUCCA